AGAGGUAUGGCUCAGUGGUAGAUUAUCUGCCUAACAAGCAUGAGGCCCUGAGUUCAAAUCCCAGAACUACUA
rnacentral:tRNA from 1 species